rnacentral:rRNA from 1 species
AUUGAACGCUGGCGGCAUGCCUUACACAUGCAAGUCGAACGGUAACAGGUCUUCGGAUGCUGACGAGUGGCGAACGGGUGAGUAAUACAUCGGAACGUGCCCGAGAGUGGGGGAUAACGAAGCGAAAGCUUUGCUAAUACCGCAUACGAUCUCAGGAUGAAAGCAGGGGACCGCAAGGCCUUGCGCUCACGGAGCGGCCGAUGGCAGAUUAGGUAGUUGGUGGGGUAAAAGCUUACCAAGCCGACGAUCUGUAGCUGGUCUGAGAGGACGACCAGCCACACUGGGACUGAGACACGGCCCAGACUCCUACGGGAGGCAGCAGUGGGGAAUUUUGGACAAUGGGCGCAAGCCUGAUCCAGCCUUGCCGCGUGCAGGAUGAAGGCCUUCGGGUUGUAAACUGCUUUUGUACGGAACGAAAAGACUCUGGUUAAUACCUGGGGUCCAUGACGGUACCGUAAGAAUAAGCACCGGCUAACUACGUGCCAGCCGCCGCUGUAAAAC